AGUUUAUGAGCCCACAUUCACGCCGAGGGUUACAGAGGUAUAUGCCUAUAUAUGCUUCCUCCCCUGCCACUCUUCGCUCACCCUGAUGCUGGGCUGUCUAUACUCGACUGAUUUGGGCACAUCUUAGAGCUUGGUACUGGGAUUAUUUGUUCGACAGUUCAUAAUAUGAAUUGGCUUUUGGACAGCAUGCAAGAGAAAAUCCCCUUAACCAUGUUCUGUUCUGCUCUGCUCAUGUUCUGAUUAUGUUAAUCAUCUGGCCAGUUGACAAGGGAACCUACCCUGAAUCUCUUCCUAUGAUCUUAUUCAACUUGUGAGG